AUGCUCCAAAUAGCAUUGAAGAAGUUGGCUGAAGGUAUCGUAAGUACUGUCAAAGAGCUGAGACAGAUGUGGAGAAGUGUUGUUGCUGAACAAAAAAGAGAGGACGAAGGGAAUUGGAAUGGAGUAUUAUCGCAGGUUCGGAUGGAGGAAGUUUGGAUUCCAGAAGGUAGGUUAACUAGUGGGGGUUGGUUUGUUGGUGAUUCGGAAGUAGCAGGUGGAGAGAUGAGGGUCAGUUUCAUGGAGAGAUAG